rnacentral:rRNA from 1 species
UACGUAAGGUCCGAGCGUUGUCCGGAAUCAUUGGGCGUAAAGGGUACGUAGGCGGAUAAGCAAGUUAGAAGUGAAAUCCUAUAGCUCAACUAUAGUAAGCGGUUAAAACUGUGUAACUUGAGAGAUGGAAGGGAAAGUGGAAUUCCUAGUGUAGCGGUGAAAUGCGCAGAUAUUAGGAGGAAUACCAGUGGCGAAGGCGACUUUCUGGCCAGAAACUGACGCUGAGGGACGAAAGCGUGGGUAGCAAACAGG